CGCACUUCCAACGGGAGCUACUGUGUUGGUCUAGCGGCGAUAACAAACCUCAAGAGGGCGAUAAAGUUACAUUCAGAUGUCUCUGACAUUAAACCAGAUGUAUUAUUAUUCAGAUACUCGACAGGUUUGAAGUGAGGCCCGCUGACCUGUAGAAAUGAGCACUGCGGCAGAAAACAGGGCGAUCUCCUCUUCCGUUAACUGGAGUGAACACAGACUCUUGGCAAAGUCAAACACUGCACUGACCAGGUCAUCACAGCCUGCAGGAGAACCGUGUUGUUGAGAGGGUUGAAUGCCCGGCACAUUCUGACCAACACUACUUCCAGACAACCUGAGUAUGUGAGAAAAGUGUUAAGCAGGCCAGUCGUAAUCAGCGUAUAUGUUGAAGAGGUUUUGGCAAAGUCCAUGGAUUGCUGUAACCCCUGGAUGACGACUAACAAAUGCACAGAAGAAAAGGCACAUCUUUCACUGACCUUGCAGCCUUCACAUGUGAUGACUCCAUAGUGGAUGCCUGAUG